GCGCCCGUAGCUCAACUGGAUAGAGUAUUAGCCUCCGAAGCUAAGGGUUGUGGGUUCAAAUCCCGCCGGGCGCA
rfam:Candidate division WOR-1 bacterium RIFCSPHIGHO2_01_FTLL_53_15 rifcsphigho2_01_scaffold_464, whole genome shotgun sequence.